GUAUGUUUGCGUGUUGUUAUGACGACCGAGACGGGUUUUGGUCUCUUUUUCGGCUUUUUCCCUAACAGUUGGUUUAUCGGGCAAAUGGGCUGAUAACUCAGCAUCCGUAUAUCGGAAUCGAGUCCCGUAAGUUGCAACGCAUGACUAAUGUCUAUACGGUGCUAUGUGUGUGUUUGUGUGUCGUUCGGACGACCGAGGUGGG
rnacentral:lncRNA from 1 species